ACCUUCGGGCCUCUUGCCAUCGGAUGUGCCCAGAUGGGAUUAGCUAGUAGGUGGGGUAAAGGCUCACCUAGGCGACGAUCCCUAGCUGGUCUGAGAGGAUGACCAGCCACACUGGAACUGAGACACGGUCCAGACUCCUACGGGAGGCAGCAGUGGGGAAUAUUGCACAAUGGGCGCAAGCCUGAUGCAGCCAUGCCGCGUGUAUGAAGAAGGCCUUCGGGUUGUAAAGUACUUUCAGCGGGGAGGAAGGGAGUAAAGUUAAUACCUUUGCUCAUUGACGUUACCCGCAGAAGAAGCACCGGCUAACUCCGUGCCAGCAGCCGCGGUAAUACGGAGGGUGCAAGCGUUAAUCGGAAUUACUGGGCGUAAAGCGCACGCAGGCGGUUUGUUAAGUCAGAUGUGAAAUCCCCGGGCUCAAC
rnacentral:rRNA from 1 species